rnacentral:rRNA from 1 species
UAGGGAAUCUUCCACAAUGGACGCAAGUCUGAUGGAGCAACGGCCGCGUGAGUGAAGAAGGUUUUCGGACCGUAAAGCUCUGUUGUUGGUGAAGAAGGAUAGAGGUAGUAACUGGCCUUUAUUUGACGGUAAUCAACCAGAAAGUCACGGCUAACUACGUGCCAGCAGCCGCGGUAAUACGUAGGUGGCAAGCGUUGUCCGGAUUUAUUGGGCGUAAAGCGAGCGCAGGCGGAAGAAUAAGUCUGAUGUGAAAGCCCUCGGCUUAACCGAGGAAUUGCAUCGGAAACUGUUUUUCUUGAGUGCAGAAGAGGAGAGUAGAACUCCAUGUGUAGCGGUGGAAUGCGUAGAUAUAUGGAAGAAUACCAGUGGCGAAGGCGGCUCUCUGGUCUGCAACUGACGCUGAGGCUCGAAAGCAUGGGUAGCGAACAGGAUUAGAUACCCUGGUAGUCCAUGCCGUAAACGAUGAGUGCUAAGUGU